CCCCUCCACCCCCACACCUCCCCUCUGCCCUUACAGCUGAGUGAUCACAGCCUCUCCUUAGGUCCGGGUAUACUUGUUCCUCUGCGCUGCUGGAAGGUUCACCUGGGCCCAGAUGAUGACUAAAGGUCCCUUCUUCUGAGGAAAGAAGCAGGACUCAGAAACGCAAACCAAGCCUACGAAGAUGCACCCAGUUGCCCAACACUCUGCAGAGACUGGAGGCAGGCACGGCAGGAAAUGAAAACAGACCGGAAACUGCUCUUCAGACUCCAAAUCUAAAGUUAAUUAAAUUAAUGAAAAGCUAAUAUCUAUCUAUUAA
rnacentral:lncRNA from 1 species